AUAUUGGACAAUGGGCGCAAGCCUGAUCCAGCCAUGCCGCGUGCGUGAAGAAGGCCUUUUGGUUGUAAAGCACUUUAAGCGGGGAGGAGGCUCUUCUAGUUAAUACCUAUGAUGAGUGGACGUUACUCGCAGAGUAAGCACCGGCUAACUCUGUGCCAGCAGCCGCGGUAAUACAGAGGGUGCGAGCGUUAAUCGGAUUUACUGGGCGUAAAGCGUACGUAGGCGGCUUUUUAAGUCGCAUGUGAAAUCCCUGAGCUUAACUUAGGAAUUGCAUUCGAUACUGGGAAGCUAGAGUAUGGGAGAGGAUGGUAGAAUUCCAGGUGUAGCGGUGAAAUGCGUAGAGAUCUGGAGGAAUACCGAUGGCGAAGGCAGCCAUCUGGCCUAAUACUGACGCUGAGGUACGAAAGCAUGGGGAGCAAAC
rnacentral:rRNA from 1 species